GUCUCCAACUCUUUUAAAUACUUUUAGAGAGAGAAAGCAAGCUCCUUCGUCGAUAGAGAUCUAGACCGAGAGAGCCGUGCACUCGCCUGUCUGGUUCUAGAGAGAGACAUAUAAGGUCCUGUCUAGAGAGAGAGGGUCCUGGAGGGAAAGGGAGAGACAGCGAAGAGUAGAGGGGAGGUGGUCUCUGUAAUUGUAGAGAGAGAGAGGGGUUCUGUUUCUGUGGUUUUAGAUAGAGAGAGAGGAGUGAGGGAAGAGAGAACCUGCAAAUUUUCACAUUGUGUGGAUUGACAUAUCUGAUGAUUUCUUCUGAGCUAGACGUCUACAACGUUUGCUGCAAUGGAGUUGGAGUUGCCGGGAACCUAUUUGCAUUUGUGCUAUUUUUAUCACCUAUGCCUACAUUUCGAAGAAUCAUAAGGAAUGGUUCCACUGAGCAAUUCUCUGGCUUGCCCUACAUAUAUGCCCUUUUAAACUGCUUGAUAUGCCUCUGGUAUGGCCUCCCUGUUGUGACACAAGGCAUGCUCUUGGUUGCCACUGUCAAUUCAAUUGGGGCGCUUUUUCAGUUGGUUUACAUAUCUCUCUUCAUCACUUAUGCUGAGAGAAGGAAAAAGGUGAAUAUGUUGGGCCUAUUGCUUGCUGUUUUCAGUUUAUUUGCAGUCAUUGUUUUUGUUUCCCUGAGAUUCAUGGGUCCCUCACUGAGGCAGUUGUUUGUUGGCUACUUGAGUGUGGCUUCGCUUAUAUCCAUGUUCGCUUCCCCAUUAUUCAUCAUUAAUUUAGUGAUACAGACAAAGAGCGUUGAAUUCAUGCCGUUCUAUCUAUCCCUGGCAACCUUUUUGAUGAGUUUUUCAUUCUUUGCAUUUGGAUUUCUUAAGCAUGAUGGUUUCAUUUAUGUCCCAAAUGGGAUUGGCUCUUUGCUUGGGGUGGUGCAGCUGGUUUUGUAUGCCUAUUACAGCCGUAAAUCAAAGGAUUCAGAAGAGCCCUUACUUGCAUCAGAGUAGUGAGUCUAUUAGCAAUCAGGAAACAGAUGUUAUUUGCAGGCCAAAGUCAAGGUGCUCAUUUGCUGAAGACUUGCUUCAUAGUCUUCCCACUAAUGCGUCUCGAGGGAACACUGCUUUCUCCUACAUAUCUAUCCAUGACCAUGCAUUCAAAUCCUUUUUGCAGUUUUGCCUGACGUAAUUCAGGAGUUUAGGCUCGAAUUUCCAUAGCUCAUAACCUCUUAGGAGACUAGUCCUUUUCUAAGUCCAUUAUCUUCCUAGUGUGCAAUCCCGUCACAUUUCUUCCAUCCCUAUAUUUCCCCUCUCAUAUGAAUCCUUCUGUGGGAUACCAUAAUCACAGGCUUCAACAGCUCUUUCUUAAGGUAUCCGGAGACAAGGGUCAGAACAUAUUCCGCCUUUAAAGAAUAUGGGCCACCAAAACGCCAAUGUUUCUGAGGAUGGAGUUCCUCUAGUUAACUUAAGGCUUCGAAGAGUACACGUUGAAACUAUUUUAGUGGUUUUCUUGGUGCAUUGGGUUGAGGUUGAUUGAGGAUUCACAUAUCGCUUUUUAAAAACCACGUACUGCUCUUCCUAUGAGAGAUAUUUGGAUGCAGUUUGAUCAUGGAUAUUUAGCAGUGUGGAACACUGGAAAAUGUACCAUGACUGAGAAUUGAUAGACCUGAGAUCAAGUUGGAUGAACUGUUGAUUCCUUACCCCAUUUGGUUCCUUGGAAAUGAGACUCCUGGGGAAAUGUGUAUCCUGGAAUUGGUACCUCCUUGAAUUGGCAUUUCCUGGAAGAUCGGUUUAUAUUGCUUGCCUAGCAUCUGGUAGAGACCUGGAAGAUGGGUGUAUGUUGUUUGUGUAGCAUCUGGCAGAGACCUGGAAGAUGCAUUUUCACUAUUUGGAUUAUCUAGAAUAUGCAUCUUCAAGAAAUUAAAAAAUUUUCAUUGUA